AGUUACAAAGGACGACAUUAGACGAAUCAUCUGGAAAGAUGAAUCAAAGAAGGUAAUAAUCCUGUAGUCGAAAAUGUUGUCUCUCUUGAGUGGAUCCUGAGUACGACGGAGCACGUGAAAUUCCGUCGGAAUCUGGGAGGACCAUCUCCUAAGGCUAAAUACUCUCUAGUGACCGAUAGUGAACCAGUACCGUGAGGGAAAGGUGAAAAGCACCCCGGAAGGGGAGUGAAAUAGAACCUGAAACCGUGUGCUUACAAGUAGUCAGAGCCCGUUAAUGGGUGAUGGCGUGCCUUUUGUAGAAUGAACCGGCGAGUUACGAUUUGAUGCAAGGUUAAGCAGUAAAUGUGGAGCCGUAGCGAAAGCGAGUCUGAAUAGGGCGUUUAGUAUUUGGUCGUAGACCCGAAACCAGGUGAUCUACCCUUGGUCAGGUUGAAGUUCAGGUAACACUGAAUGGAGGACCGAACCGACUUACGUUGAAAAGUGAGCGGAUGAACUGAGGGUAGCGGAGAAAUUCCAAUCGAACCUGGAGAUAGCUGGUUCUCUCCGAAAUAGCUUUAGGGCUAGCCUCAAGUGAUGAUUAUUGGAGGUAGAGCACUGUUUGGACGAGGGGCCCCUCUCGGGUUACCGAAUUCAGACAAACUCCGAAUGCCAAUUAAUUUAACUUGGGAGUCAGAACAUGGGUGAUAAGGUCCGUGUUCGAAAGGGAAACAGCCCAGACCACCAGCUAAGGUCCCAAAAUAUAUGUUAAGUGGAAAAGGAUGUGGCGUUGCCCAGACAACUAGGAUGUUGGCUUAGAAGCAGCCAUCAUUUAAAGAGUGCGUAAUAGCUCACUAGUCGAGUGACACUGCGCCGAAAAUGUACCGGGGCUAAACAUAUUACCGAAGCUGUGGAUUGUCCUUUGGACAAUGGUAGGAGAGCGUUCUAAGGGCGUUGAAGCAUGAUCGUAAGGACAUGUGGAGCGCUUAGAAGUGAGAAUGCCGGUGUGAGUAGCGAAAGACGGGUGAGAAUCCCGUCCACCGAUUGACUAAGGUUUCCAGAGGAAGGCUCGUCCGCUCUGGGUUAGUCGGGUCCUAAGCUGAGGCCGACAGGCGUAGGCGAUGGAUAACAGGUUGAUAUUCCUGUACCACCUAUA
rnacentral:rRNA from 1 species